AUGACCCAGUUUUCUUUCAUGCCAGUUAUUGUCCUUUUCUUUAUUUUUUCAGUUAUAACAAUGAGUCAAGCAGACCAAACAUGUUUCACACUCAGGGAAGGUGAUUGUUUUCUUGGGAGAUGUCGACAAUGGUGCUCUCAAACUUACAACGGUAAUGGACAUUGUCAGGCCUAUGAAGACCCUGUUAGUCCUAAAUAUAAAUGUAUUUGCAUACAUAAAUGUUAA